rnacentral:rRNA from 1 species
UACGUAGGGUGCAAGCGUUGUCCGGAAUCAUUGGGCGUAAAGCGCGCGUAGGCGGCCCGGUAAGUCCGUUGUGAAAGUCGAAGGCUCAACCUUCGAAAGCCGAUGGAUACUGCCGGGCUAGAGUACGGAAGAGGCGAGUGGAAUUCCUGGUGUAGCGGUGGAAUGCGCAGAUAUCAGGAGGAACACCAAUAGCGAAGGCAGCUCGCUGGGACGUUACUGACGCUGAGGCGCGAAAGCGUGGGGAGCGAACAGG